CGGGUAAAACUCCUGCUUGUUACCGUUUCAUCUGGCCUAAGCCGGAUGUCGUUUUGGUGUCUGAUUCGGUAAGAAUCGGGAGCACCAUCUGCGUAGGCUUCCAUGUUUAAGGCUUGCGCCACCUACGGUCUUGGAUAGCCCCCGCAAAGCAGGGACCCCAAUUUUGUAGCGGGCACGUAUUACGCACCC
rfam:Vibrio sp. J237 Contig_6, whole genome shotgun sequence.